rnacentral:lncRNA from 1 species
GUCCUGAAUGAAGACUUGUAAGCAGCUCUGGGGCAGGGGGUGGGAGGCAGGGCCCUUCAGACGGUCCCCAUCUUCCCAGGGCCGGGUGAAGGAGGCCGGUGGACCCAAGCUGGCACCGCUCAGCCAGUUGCCUGUCCUUUCUGGAAGCCUGACUUGGCUGCUGCCUAGGCGUGCCAAUGGACUCCCCUCCUGACCGUCAUCCCGACCAUCGUCAAAAAUUAAACAAAAUCACUUUUUCGGGACUGCCUGACCGCGUCUCUGGGAGCCCUCACUUGGCGGGACUGCGCCAGUCAGAAAGAGAAGCCUAUGAGUGCAUCCAGGAAUUUCUAGAACAAGGGCAGCUGGUAAGGCAGUUCCCUGGAGCUUUCUGAGAACUGAGGAGAAAAGUAGGUAAAAGCGAGGGCUCGGGCUUCCCAGAACUUGUUCAAACUCAUGUCCAUUGAGUCGGUGAUGCCAUCCAACCAGCUCAUCCUCCGUCGUCCCCUUCUCCUCUUGCCUUCAGUUUUCUCAGCAUCAGGUCUUUUCCAGUGGAUCAGCUCUUUGCAUCAGGUGGCCAAAGUAUUG